AUUGAACGCUGGCGGCAGGCCUAACACAUGCAAGUCGAGCGACCGGCGGACGGGUGAGGAAUGUAUGGGGACUGCCCGAUAGAGGGGGAUAACUACUGGAAACGCUGGCUAAUACUCCAUACUGUCGGAUAACCCCUUGGGGAUUAGCUAGUAGGUUAGGUAAUGGCUAACCUAGGCGACGAUCCCUAGCUGGUCUGAGAGGAUGAUCAGCCACACUGGAACUGAGAAACGGCCCAGACGCCUACGGAGGCAGCAGUGGGGAAUAUUGCACAAUGGGCGAAAGCCUGAUGCAGCCAUGCCGCGUGUGUGAAGAAGGCCCUAGGGUUGUAAAGUACUUUCAGUCGGGAGGCGUUACCGACAGAAGAAGCACCGGCUAACUCCGUGCCAGCAGCCGCGGUAAUUC
rnacentral:rRNA from 1 species